rnacentral:lncRNA from 1 species
GUACCUAGUAAAUUUACUAUGUAUAAAUUCAUUACUCUCUUUUAACUGUCCAUCAUAGAACUAAAUUCUAUCUUCAUUUUAUUAAUGCUUGUCUGCCUUUGGUUUCAUUUAGGAAACCCCACCUGUUUCCUAAUACUCAGAGCUGAUUGCCUCUCAGUAAGCCAUGUUCAGAUCAUCUUUUUCUCAAGAAUACUGACCUGCAUUCUUGAUGUACCACACCCUGCCCCCAGUUCCCAUCUUGCAGACACUGUUAAAUAAUAAAAUGCAUGCAGUUCACUAACAGAGAAUACUUUCCUAUGUCUAAAGUUCUUCUUCAUCUAGAAAUUACCUUUGCUGUUAUUAAUAAGAUCCCUUCUCACAGUUUUGGAGCAUAAAACUGGGUGAGUUGGAUACAUAUCUCAGAAUUUUCUUUUAUCCCUCACUUCUCAACUGAUGUGCCAAGUUGGACUGCAUACUUCUUUUUUCCUGCCAAGUAUUAUAUAUUGUAUAUCCUGAGGCAGGAAAAAUGUCUAUUAUUUGAAGCAAACGUUACACAUUAUUUUAUUCCCUAAAAGUCCAAUUGAUCUCUGAGGUUGAGUUAUUCUAGUCCUUGGAGUGUCUGUCUUGUGAAUCUCUGUCCUAAUUAAUAUAAAUUAUAGAUUAUCCAUUUUCAUCUCUGCUGAGUAAUACAACUAUGUUCCAUAAUUAUUCCAGUUUCCCCCAAAUCUUACGAGGUAACAAGUUAAAACUGAGGUGUUUGGUUUUUUUCCCACAAAUAUUAUUUUAUCCUUGGC